rnacentral:sRNA from 1 species
AGAGUAUACCGCAGACAUCAUUUCUACUACAGUGGCGGAGCCGUACAGGACCUGUUUCACUGCAGGGGGAUCCAAAACAAGCCCCGUGGAGCAGCAGCCAGAGCAACAGCAGCCGCAAGACAUUGUUUCUCUCCCUCUGCCCCCCUUCCCCACGCAACCCCAGAUCCAUUUACACUUUACAGAGCAUCGUGCAUCAAGUCACCAGGGUGGUCCAUUCAAGCUGCAGAUUUGUUUGUCAUCCUUGUGCAACAAUCUCCUCCUCCACUGCCACUACAGGGAAGUGCAUCACAUGUCAGGUGAGAGUUUUGCGAUGCUCUCUGUUUUCCAUCUGAGGAUAAAGUCCUGACCUGGAAAAUUGCCUCCUAGCCAUGCUCCCUUACUUUGUUGGCUGCUGAAUAUCAUUUUCUUUGCAAACUCUAUUUGGGCAUAGUGUGGGAAGUUGAGAAAUUGCCAAGAUUGUUUUUUAAAACUUGGAUUAAAGUAUCUAUUUGGUUUAAUCUAUAUGUUCAUGAAGACGUUCAUUUGACUUUGUGAUGAUUGAUAAUUGCCAACUGGGGCUUGAA